UCCCUGGUAGUAUAUCGGUUAGUACACGCGCCUGUCACCCUUGCGGAUCGCGCGAAAGCGGGGUUCGACUCCCCGCCAGGGAG